ensembl:misc_RNA Y_RNA Y RNA
GGCUGGUCCAAGCGCGGCGGUGUUUGUAACUAAUUGAUCAAACCACUUACAGCUUCCCCUGAUCUUCUCCACUCCCACUUCACUUGACUAGCCUAAA